rnacentral:rRNA from 1 species
UACGGAGGAUGCAAGCGUUAUCCGGAUUCAUUGGGUUUAAAGGGUGCGCAGGCGGAAUGAUAAGUCAGUGGUGAAAUCUCCCGGCUCAACCGGGAAACUGCCAUUGAUACUGUCAUUCUUGAGUAUAGUUGAAGUGGGCGGAAUGUGUCAUGUAGCGGUGAAAUGCUUAGAUAUGACACAGAACACCGAUAGCGAAGGCAGCUCACUAAGCUGUAACUGACGCUCAUGCACGAAAGCGUGGGGAUCAAACAGGAUUAGAUACCCUGGUAGUCCACGCUGUAAACGAUGAUCACUCGUUGUUGGCGAUAUACUGUCAGCGACUGAGGGAAACCAUUAAGUGAUCCACCUGGGGAGUACGGCGGCAACGUUGAAACUCAAAGGAGUUGACGGGGGCCCGCACAAGCGGAGGAGCAUGUGGUUUAAUUCGAUGAUACGCGAGGAACCUUACCUGGGCUUAAAUGCAGGACGACGUUUCGUGAAAGCGGAAUUUCCUUCGGGACGUCUUGCAAGGUGCUGCAUGGUUGUCGUCAGCUCGUGCCGUGAGGUGUCGGGUUAAGUCCCAUAACGAGCGCAACCCUUAUCAUUAGUUGCCAUCAGGUAAUGCUGGGAACUCUAGUGAAACUGCCUACGCAAGUAGUGAGGAAGGUGGGGAUGACGUCAAAUCAGCACGGCCCUUAUGUCCAGGGCGACACACGUGCUACAAUGGCCAGUACAGAGGGUUGCUACCUGGUGACAGGAUGCUAAUCUCAAAAGCUGGUCUCAGUUCGGAUCGAAGUCUGCAACUCGACUUCGUGAAGUUGGAUUCGCUAGUAAUCGCGCAUCAGCCAUGGCGCGGUGAAUACGUUCCCGGGCCU